UAAGAUUAUUUAUUUAAAGUGUUAAUAAAACAAUAAAUUAGUUAGUAUUAUUAAGAACGUUUUGUUAUUUUUUACUGUAAAGGAUUAUAAUGGUUUUGUAAAAGAAACAGUAAGUGUGUGUACCUUGUGUAUUAGGGGCUAUUAAAAUAGCUAUUAAGUUUAAUUUUCCCGAUAUGUUUGUGGGCUAAAAUUUUAUUUUUAUUACUGUUGCAUAAUUAAUACUGAUUAAAUUUUAGGGAUGAUAUAUUAUUCAAACAAUAAGGUUUCUGGUUCUUUAAGAUUUUAAUUUAAUUAGGGUUGAGCUAUUGUGUUUGAGCUCAAUUAGUAUUUAUAAGGGGAUAAGCUUUUAUAAGUGAUUUAUAUACCUUUUUGUAAUUUAAAUUAUUUAGAUUUAAUAUUGAUCUAAUUUUUACAAUGUUAUAAUGAAGUUAAUUUAUUAAUUAUUUAUAUAUGCGUUAUAUAUUAUAUUAAAGUAUAUUGUUAAUAAAGAUUGAAUAACAAUACUGAUAGCAUUAGUAGUAAAUUAUUUAAUUUAGUUAUUGUGUUUUUAUUUAGUUUUAAGGAACUGGGCAAAUACGAUUUUCGCCUGUUUAGCAAAAACAUGGUUUUUUGAUUAGUUACAUAAAAAAUCAGGCCUGCCCGCUGAUAGAUUUGAAGGGCUGCAGUAUUAUGACUGUACAAAGGUAGCAUAAUCAUUAGUCUUUUAAUUGAAGACUGGUAUGAAAGGUUUGACGGAAAUCAGCUGUCUCAAAUGCUAAUUAAUGAAUUUUAUUUUUAAGGAAAAGAGCUUAAAUUUUGCAAUGGGACGAGAAGACCCUAUUAAAUUUUAUUUUUUAUUAAUUAAUACGUUUAAUAAAUAAAGCUUUUAAUUGAUAAGUAAUUUUGCUGGGGCGGCAAAUAAUCAGCAUUAUUUUAAUUUAAUAUGAUAAUUAGCGUUAAGGUUUGAUCCAUUAUGGGUGAUACUGAGAAUAAAUUACUAUAGGGAUAACAGCGUAAUAUUUUUUGAGAGUUCAUAUUGACAAAAAUGUUUGCGACCUCGAUGUUGGAUUAAGAAUUCUUAUUGAUGCAGUAGUUGAUAUAGAAGGUCUGUUCGACCUUUAAAUUCUUACAUGAUCUGAGUUCAGACCGGCGUGAGCCAGGUCGGUUUCUAUCUUUUGUUGGUAUAGGUUUAAAUUAGUACGAAAGGACCAUUUAAUAUAAAAUUUUUAUAAUUUAAUGAAUCAAUUAAAUUUUUGUAAAUAUAGGCCUUA
rnacentral:rRNA from 1 species